UACAGAGGGGGCCAGCGUUAUUCGGAAUUAUUGGGCGUAAAGCGCGCGCAGGCGGUCCUUUAAGUCUGAUGUGAAAGCCCACGGCUCAACCGUGGAAGGUCAUUGGAAACUGGGGGACUUGAGUGCAGAAGAGGAAAGUGGAAUUCCAAGUGUAGCGGUGAAAUGCGUAGAGAUUUGGAGGAACACCAGUGGCGAAGGCGACUUUCUGGUCUGUAACUGACGCUGAGGCGCGAAAGCGUGGGGAGCAAACAGG
rnacentral:rRNA from 1 species